GUACAUGGCCAUAGCACCCUGAACAUGCCUGAUCUCAUCUGAUCCUGGAAGUUAAUAAGCAGGGUUAGUAUUGAUGGGAGAUGGUAAUGCCAUAUUGC
rnacentral:rRNA from 1 species